UACGGAGGGUGCGAGCGUUAAUCGGAAUUACUGGGCGUAAAGCGCGCGUAGGCGGUUUGGUAAGUCGGAUGUGAAAGCCCCGAGCUUAACUUGGGAACUGCAUUCGAUACUGCUUUACUUGAGUGUGGUAGAGGGUGGUGGAAUUCCUGGUGUAGCGGUGAAAUGCGUAGAUAUCAGGAGGAACAUCAGUGGCGAAGGCGGCCACCUGGACCAACACUGACGCUGAGGUGCGAAAGCGUGGGUAGCAAACAGG
rnacentral:rRNA from 1 species